rnacentral:misc_RNA from 1 species
AAGCACAUACAAGAAACGAUUCAUCUGAAGCAACCGCAUAAGGCCCUCCAGUAUAAAACUGCUGCAAAGACUGCAUACACUUGUAACUCUUCUUCAAUGAUACUGAAGCCAUUUUAGUGUCUUUCUUCCUCUUGAUUUGGGCAGCGAAAUUCUCCAACACCACACACUAUAUGUAAAUUGUGAAGCAAUAUGUGCCAGUUCUCUGAAAGAGCGUUAAAGGGCGGAGCAGGAG